GGUAAAAUGACUGAUAAAAGUGAUAAACUGUAAAUUUAUUUAUGAGAAAAAUUCUCUUUUACUA
rnacentral:tRNA from 1 species